UACGUAGGGUCCAAGCGUUAUCCGGAAUUACUGGGCGUAAAGAGUUUCGUAGGUGGCAUAGUAAGCGGGUAGUGAAAUGACGGGGCUCAACCUCGUGUCCAUUACCUGAACUGCUAAGCUAGAGAACGAGAGAGGUUAUUGGAAUUCCCAGUGUAGGAGUGAAAUCCGUAGAUAUUGGGAGGAACACCGAUGGCGUAGGCAGAUAACUGGCUCGUUUCUGACACUAAGGCACGAAAGCGUGGGGAGCAAACGGG
rnacentral:rRNA from 1 species